rnacentral:rRNA from 1 species
GAUGAACGCUGGCGGCGUGCCUAAUACAUGCAAGUCGAGCGAACGGACGAGAAGCUUGCUUCUCUGAUGUUAGCGGCGGACGGGUGAGUAACACGUGGAUAACCUACCUAUAAGACUGGGAUAACUUCGGGAGACCGGAGCUAAUACCGGAUAAUAUUUUGAACCGCAUGGUUCACAAGUGAAAGACGGUCUUGCUGUCACUUAUAGAUGGAUCCGCGCUGCAUUAGCUAGUUGGUAAGGUAACGGCUUACCAAGGCAACGAUGCAUAGCCGACCUGAGAGGGUGAUCGGCCACACUGGAACUGAGACACGGUCCAGACUCCUACGGGAGGCAGCAGUAGGGAAUCUUCCGCAAUGGGCGAAAGCCUGACGGAGCAACGCCGCGUGAGUGAUGAAGGUCUUCGGAUCGUAAAACUCUGUUAUUAGGGAAGAACAUAUGUGUAAGUAACUGUGCACAUCUUGACGGUACCUAAUCAGAAAGCCACGGCUAACUACGUG